rnacentral:piRNA from 1 species
UACAACAAGAUACAUAUUUGUCCCUGCCC